GACGAACGCUGGCGGCGUGCUUAACACAUGCAAGUCGUACGAGACGAUUGAAAGCUUGCUUUCGAAAGUCGAGUGGCAAACGGGUGAGUAACGCGUAGACAACCUGCCUUUGAGAUGGGGACAACAGUUCGAAAGGACUGCUAAUACCGAAUGUUGUAUAUUUUCCACAUGGAAGAUAUAUUAAAGAUGGCCUCUAUUUAUAAGCUAUCGCUCAAAGAUGGGUCUGCGUCUGAUUAGCUAGUUGGUGGGGUAACGGCCUACCAAGGCGACGAUCAGUGGCCGGUCUGAGAGGAUGGACGGCCACAUUGGGACUGAGACACGGCCCAGACUCCUACGGGAGGCAGCAGUGGGGAAUCUUCCACAAUGGACGAAAGUCUGAUGGAGCAACGCCGCGUGAGUGAAGAAGGGUUUCGGCUCGUAAAGCUCUGUUGUCGGGGACGAAUGUGCAGUAUUUGAAUAAAGUAGUGUAAUGACGGUACCUGACGAGGAAGCCACGGCUAACUACGUGCCAGCAGCCGCGGUAA
rnacentral:rRNA from 1 species